UGCCGGGGGGAAUGCCAGCCUCGGGCAGGCCCUCUACAAAGAGGGAAAACUGAGACAUGGGGAAAGGGAGGAACACAACUGAUUUAGAGAAGUGAAUGACAGAGGAAGGGAAACCAAAUCUAAUCAAAGCAAGUCCCUAAAUUUAAAUUUCAGUCAGGAAAAAAAUCUGUGGGAAAAAAUAGCGCUGUCCUUUACGCAAAUUGGCUCUGUCACAGGACAAGAAUUAAGCGGACAAAGCCUGUUGCAGAGCCACCUUUAGAACCUCCUCCAACACCUUUCAGGAGGUUUUACACACACAAAACAUCAAGUUUGUUGUUAAAGCACGCACAUUGCCAGGCAGUGACACCCAUCCUCGUUCCCUCCCAAGGCACGCUGCCUUCACACCCGCAGCCAUUUUGCAGCCUCGAGUCGCUUCAGCUCACACUCCUUCAAACUCCUUCCCAGCCUGGGGCUCGGACAUCACACCCAAAGGAAAAUUCCAGUGAGUGGUUUUGUUCAUAAUUCAGAGGAAUUUUUAAAUUCUUAGGAAACACACAGCAAAAGCAAAAGCCAUGUUACAAAAGGUGAUGUUACGAAACAAAUUAUAACAAAAGCUGCACGAAACAGAGAAAACAUAUGUGUGGCCGUUCAGUCAAUGCUGGUGAUUUACCCAAGAACAUAUGGAAAGUUUGUGGCAGAAUCAACAUGUGGAGCACAAGCUUAUCCUUGCCCUCAGUUCAGGCUCACUUGCACCUGGACCUCCUCCUGACACUAGAUUUUGAAAGCCUGACUCAUCACAGGUUCUUCUAUGUGCUCAAGCUAAAGCCUAUGUGAAACAAACCAUUAUUUUAAAUUAACUUCUCUAUUUUUACAGUGUAUCAUUUUUAUUCCAUUGAUAUUUAUAUGCCUAGAAAAUGUAUUUGGUGCCUCAGUUCCUUUUUUCACAUUAGAAUUGUCAUUUGUGUCACAUUUUAAGCCAAAUUAAAUUAUAAAAAUAGUUAUGUAACUACUAGCACCAUAGAAUUUCUUUUUAUUUCGGAGACAAACAAGGAGUAUAUUGGAAAAAAACCCUGUGAAUCUCAUUUCUGGUCCUAAUGAAGCAAGUAACCCAUUAUACCAAGGUUAAUUUGUUGACUCAUGAUUUCCACUUAUCCAAUGAUAUACUGAAUCAUAUGAACAAACCUCUACAUCUAAUCAGUUUUUUUAUUGAAUCCUGACCUUUUAUGCACCUUCUUCUUGAUUAUGAAUGACAGUGACCUUUAUCUAAUUUAAAACACACAUACUGAUGCAAAAAUAUGCAAAGUACACAUGUAAAUUCUGAAUUAAGAUGAAGAUGUGCAUAAUCUUCUAAGGAGAAAUUGCUUUAGAGAGAGAUGUUUAUAUUAGCGCCAAUUGAGGGUAUAUGGGGAGAAAAAGUGAAUUAGUCAGAACUCAGAUGGUUUUGGAGGAACAGCUGCAGAGAUACUGAGGGCUGUUUAGAUUUUCUCUGCUUCUAUUUAGAAUCCUGAAAUGUCAAUAUAAAUAUCAAUUUUUAUUAUGCGAUUCAGCUUUUUGUGGCAUUCAUGGAAUGAUCAAAAUGGAAUAAAGUCAGAUAAAACACCUUUUCACCUAAGGUUUGACAAACUGUACCCCAGUAUUCUAUUUAUGUUUCACUCAAAAUACAUAGUAGUAAUUUCCUACUACACAAAAUCUGGGUCAAAUUCACAAUAUUAUAAAAGCUGUCUGGUUCACUUUGCCAUUUACCUCAUUAGAAGGAAUGGUAUAAGCAUCAUAUGGAGAUGAUCUUUUUAGUUCAGGAUAUAACUAGGAAUUGCUGUAAGUGCUGAAAAAUAAAUAAACAAAUUUAAGAGUAGUGAAACUUGGGACAAAAAGAACUCCCUAACUUUCAUUUUGCUUUUUUUCUGCUCAUCACUAAUGGGCCUGCACUGAAAUUACUACAGAUGAACGCACAAUGGGCACGGUCUGAACCACUGUGUAAUCCUAUAAUCUACUCUCUCUUUUCACAAGUCAUUCCUUCAUCUGAAUUGCUGUGAACCUAAGUUGUAGAUCAGCAGCUUUGUUCUAGCCUCUGCAUUAAAAAAAUGUGAAAAAAAAAUAUACAGAAAAUUUGCAAAACUCAGUGUAAAGACUGUCAAAGCACAAAUCUAACAAACACAUUCCUCUGAGACGCUCCAACCAAACAGUACCUGGCAUUAGCAUGUACUUUCAUGAUUAACAACAGGGGGUUGUCAGACUGCUAUUUCUGAAAUAAACAGAUUUAUCCUGACAGAUAAUCAGCAGUUUGCGCUACCUAAUACAUGUUAUCAUCCACCACUGACAUCAUUACAUUAAAAGCACACUUAGUAUAAUCUUUUGUAUGAAAUUAAACGGGUUUUAUGAUACAUUUUUGGUGGUUUUUUUGCGGCGGAUAGAGGGGAGCCUGGUGAAGAGACUGCAAGGUCAGAGAAAACAUCCAUAGCAAACAACACAGAGAAGAUCCCCAGAAAUGUUAUGCUAUAUUUGGUUUUUUUUUCACAAUUUAUUAUGUAAUUUCUAAAUAAAUUAAACUCAAGUGUUCUGACUGCAAACCACAUCUUGUACUUUUAAGCAGUCUUCUGUAAUAUCCUUGGCUGUCCCACAUGUUACCUCAAUACUCUCCAGUGUCCCUCUGUCUGUCCAUCCUGCUAGGUUCACAUAAAAACUUGCCAUACAGCAUGAACUUGUGAAACAUAUUUGAUCUUUCCACUUAUAUUUUUGGGACUGGCUAAUGGACUUUGGGAAACCAUCAAGCAAUGCCUGCACAGAUUUUUGGAGGUUCAAACUUAUCUUUAACUUUUAGACCUCUUUUUGUUCACCAUCUCUUCCUCCCUGGAGAAAGGAGGCACCAGGUUUCACAUUACUCACUGGACAGGUAAAACAAAAACUGUUGUAUCUAUGGAGGAAAUAUGGAACAAAGUCAUUUGAACAUGUGAUGCCUAUGGAUCCUCCCUCCUUUCCUGCCUGCUCACUAACCUAGCUGUUUCUGCAGUGAUCAGCUUUGUACUCAACAUGGGCAAUGAAAUUUUGGUAAGAAAAACGAAAUAUACAUCCCCCAUGUAUGUAUGUAUAUAUGUCAAUGUAUAUGUAUGUAUAUGUAAUAUAUGUACACUCCUCCAAGUAAAAAAUUCUUGCCUCAGCUCUAAGGGUAAUGGGAAUUAUAUAUACUGUCAUGUUCACUGGAGAAAAUACUGAAAUGUCUUUCCUUUUUUAAAUUUUAGGUUGCCAACUGACAUUAUACUAUUACUGUUCUGUGAACUCGUGUAACGUAGCCAUGGCAAAGCCAAGGAACAAAAAUUGCAUGGGGACUGUUACUUGACUUUAACAAGUAUUUCAUCUUCUUCCUUAGAGCACAAUUUCUAAGUCAUAGACUUUUCUGCAGGGGCAAGUCAGAUAUCAGAGUCCUGGCUCCAGAGGCCUGUUGUGACUUAUUUCUCCAGAGACAGAACCUCAUUAUUUUCAGAUGGUAAAACCUGCAGGAAGGAGCCUGAUGGGAGCAAGAGCCCUGCCUUAUGUACAGCUCCGAGGUUUGCUGCGUCCCAUGGACCUGCUGCAAGGCACACCACAGCGGAGUAUCUGGAAAUCUUUCUAGAAGAGAGCUUUGGCUGAGUUACUGUAGCAGUGGCAGGUUUGCAGAGGCAGAGGAAGAAACCAAACCAAUGGGAAAAAGGAACUGGCUGCAGAAAGUCUCUGAUAGUCUCAUCUAGAAAAGUGCAUGGCAUUAAUUAGCCUGAAAUGAAACACAGGGUCUUGCUCCAUGGAGAGUUUACUGAAAAUACAUUCAGAGGGCUCAAUAAUAUUCCAUCUCAACCUAGUUUCAUCUCAUUUAUUUCACUGUAUCAAAGAAUUAAACUAAGUUGUGUCAAGUAAACCUGGUGAAUUUAAAGGAAACUUGAGUACAUAAUUUGGAUGUAACUGUAUGAAAUGCUGCUGAUGACUCACUAAGGACCACUUUUGUCCCUGUGAGCCAUUGAUCAUUGGGUAAAAGAUGGAAAAGAAUCAGGAAAUAGCUGUCUGCUGCAACAGUAUUUUAAUCCACUUACAAAAAAUCUUCCUUGGAAAGGCCUUUUUCAUAUCUCCAGUGGUGACUCAUCUAAUCUCAUCUCUGUAUAUUGCUAAACUCCACAGGGAUCACCUUUACUUUCCAACUUUACCCUGGCCAGAGAUUCAGUCAGACAAAAGAUCCUUAAUGCCUUUCCUUAAGUUCAGCUCACUUCUCUAAAAUGCAUUUCCCCUCUCUUUCACAAAAUGAAAGAAGUAGUUUUUUAGAAAUGCUUUCUUUUUUCCCUUUCUUUUUUGUUUCCUACUUUUUUUUUUUUUUUCUGGGGAGGCAGGAUGCCAGUAUCAAAUGCUUCUUUUCUGCAAAUCAAAAUUUCUUUGUGUGGAGCAAGUUGAGUUUUUGGGAAGAAUAUAUUUCUUUUUUCCUGUCUAGAAAGGAUUCUUAAAUUUUACUUUUAAAACUCAUGUAUCAAAAAUAUAUGUUUGUUCCUCCACAUUAUAUAUAUGCUUCUUCUCUCUAACAUUAAUUUAUUAAAAAAAAGUCUGCACUUGAAAGAGUUAAAAAAAAUUCUAAUUACAGGAUAAGAAAGAAAGGUCAGACUCCACUUACAUCAUUGUGAAGGGCUUUUAUUACACACUGCUAUAAAACAUAUUUCUUUUUUUCAGUUGCCAUCCUCACAGGGUAACCUGCAUACCAAUAGGAUCUCCAAAAUGCCAUGAAGCAAAAGAUAUUUAUCUGCUAAAUUCUAUGUACAGUAACCUUACAAAUGCCAAAGAAAGAAAGAUUGCCCUCUGCACAGUAAUACUUGUGUAGAUGUCUUCUUUAUGCUAACAAUGACAGGGCUCUCUAGGUUUGCACUGUACUCCAAAAUCAGAAUGCAUUUUUUGUUCAGAAAAGCAGACUGUAUAUCAAAGAGAAAAUAUGCACAUUUUAGGCACUGAAAUACUUAAUAUAGUGAGCAAAUACUUUCCUGAAGCAUUUUUAGUAGAAAUAUCUAAUCCAGAAACAUGAAAUGAAAAUGUAUGACUCAAGCCUUCUUGAAGAAAUUAGACAGGAUAUGUUUGGGAAUAUCUCUCUGUCCUGACUGGUUAACUAAAUUUUCAUUUUGAACUCUGUUUGAAGCCUCACAGAACUGUUAUUUGAUUAACUUGACUAUGUUAGAUAGCAAGUUAUCCAAAAGCAGAGUGGCUCCAAAUCUAAUUGCUGUCAUUUUUUAAAUCCAGCUGUGCAAAACAACAAACAAGAACUUUACUCUGGGACAAGUACAAGUCAGAAAAAUUCUAAUUUUUGCAAUAUAUUAGUCUUCAAUUCCAUUACCUGUGAUUUAAUGUAUCUAAAGUUGUUUAUGUAGUUAUUUAUAUAACUAUUUUCAGCCCUAAAUUCUGACAAUGUAUUCAAAGAAAUAUACAUCAAUAAAUGCAAGAUUUUCUGUCUGCUUUCAUAAUACCAGCCUGUGCUGUCAGAUGUAUUAGUUCAAUAUUUCAAGUGAUGUAUGCUUAAAAUUAGAAUGUAACUAAUGAUGUAGUGACUGACUUUUCUU